UUGCUAAAGAGGAGAAGCCGUCCAUUUCUUCGUACAAACAGGCUGCUGAGGUGGUGAAGAGCGGAGAAGCCCCAGGUUGGGGAAAGAUGAUUGACAUCUCCGCCAAGGAAGACAGAUUCGGGGUUGGUUAUCAGCGGGCCGAGGCUCGUCUGGGCAAGGCAGAGGUCGUCGUCAGCCUUUCACGUUCACCAUUGCUGGAAUGCUGGAUCCAGAU
rnacentral:lncRNA from 1 species